rnacentral:rRNA from 1 species
CCUACGGGAGGCAGCAGUGGGGAAUAUUGGACAAUGGGGGGAACCCUGAUCCAGCGAAGCCGCGUGAGUGAAGAAGGCUUUCGGUGUGUUAAGCUCUAUCAGUAGGGAAGAAAAUGACUGUACCUGACUAAUAAGCCCCGGCUAACUACGAGCCAGCAGCCGCGGAAAUACGGAGGGGGCAAGCGUUAUCCGGAUUUACUGGGUGUAAAGGGAGCGUAGGCGGGGAAGCAAGGCUGAUGGGAAAGGUCGGGGGCCAACCCCGGGCCUGCAGUGGAAACUGUUGAACUGGAGUACAGGAGAGGUAAGCGGAAUUCGGGGUGUAGCGGUGAAAUGCGUAGAUAUUAGGAAGAACACCAGUGGCGAAGGCAGCUUACUGGACUGCAACUGACGUUGAGGCUCGAAAGCGUGGGGAGCAAACAGGAUUAGAUACCCCUGUAGUC